GACGAACGCUGGCGGCACGCCUAACACAUGCAAGUCGAACGGAGAAAAUGAUUUCGGUUAUUUUCUUAGUGGCGGACGGGUGAGUAACACGUGAGGAACCUGCCUUUGAGAGUGGGAUAGCUUCUGGAAACGGAUGGUAAUACCGCAUAACAUAGCGAAACCGCAUGAUUUUGCUAUCAAAGUAUUUCGCUCAGAGAUGGCCUCGCGUCUGAUUAGAUAGUUGGUGAGGUAACGGCUCACCAAGUCGACGAUCAGUAGCCGGACUGAGAGGUUGAACGGCCACAUUGGGACUGAGACACGGCCCAGACUCCUACGGGAGGCAGCAGUGGGGGAUAUUGCACAAUGGGGGAAACCCUGAUGCAGCGAUGCCGCGUGGAGGAAGAAGGUUUUCGGAUUGUAAACUCCUGUCGUAAGGGAAGAGAAAGGACUGUACCUUACAAGAAAGCUCCGGCUAACUACGUGCCAGCAGCCGCGGUAAUACGUAGGGAGCGAGCGUUGUCCGGAAUGACUGGGUGUAAAGGGAGCGUAGGCGGGAUGGCAAGUCAGAAGUGAAACCUGAGGGCUCAACCUUCAGACUGCAUUUGAAACUGCUGUUCUUGAGUGAAGUAGAGGUAAGCGGAAUUCCUGGUGUAGCGGUGAAAUGCGUAGAGAUCAGGAGGAACAUCGGUGGCGAAGGCGGCUUACUGGGCUUUUACUGACGCUGAGGCUCGAAAGCGUGGGGAGCAAACAAGAUUAGAUACCCUGGUAGUCCACGCUGUAAAC
rnacentral:rRNA from 1 species